UAGGCCUUCCGAGAAAACAGUUUGACGAACUGUUGGCCCGAACGUCCACCCUUGCCGAGUCGGGUUUCCAGCGCGCAGCACCGGUCAAGGCAAGGAGCGGCCUCUUAAGAUCCAAUUGGACAUUACCUGUCAGGGACUUAAACCCGUAUCCAUGUUUAUUUGUGUCCUCUCCGCGCUAUUCCCCACGCUAUUCCGUGGAUUAAUCAUGGUACACAGACAGUGGUAGACCGAACAAGGCUGACAUUUUCUCUGGCUCUGCCCCUGCGCGUCGCCGGCAAUUAUUGGGCGUCGCCAUUGAACUUUCCGGAAAUUUCGACCCAACCCGGCACAUUCCACCAGACCUUCUUGAUAAAGUGGGGUGAAACACCAUAACAGUACAUUAUUUUUCUGUGAUAGAACUUCCACAUUCAUUGAAUGCGUUUAUAGCUUUUUUAAGCUUUAUAAGGCUUAAAAUGAAGCUGUAACAUGUUAAUGACCUUUUUGCCAAUGAAAUGUUGGGGGAACAUUGUUUCAAAAACUCAGAGUAAUUCAUAUUUUGAAAUUCAUUAUUUCUUGUUUAUAAUUUGGGCUUGAGAAACAAGUGAUACCCUAAGUGUUACUACUGGUUUGAAAGGAACAUGUUUGUUAUGAAGUCAGUAUUGAACAUUUUUUAUCUGGUUCAUGUAUUUGUAUAUAUACUUGUAUAACAAGUCGGUGAUGUUUUACAGUGGAGUUUUGACAGACCUCUCUUAGCAGCUUCAGAUGUCUUGAACAAUACCAGUAGAACAUUCAUAAAAUGACGUAAUGCCGGUUUUAAUGUCAAGACUGCAUAGGGUCAGCUUAAUAUGGUUGUCACAAUUGUUAAGUGUAUGUGCAAGCAUGCGUUAGUGUGUAUUUUAGACUGACUGAGCUUGUUCAGAAUAUUAAUUCAUAAUUCAUCAUGAAAUUGUAAAAUAACUUCCCAAUAAUUCAAAAUAUAGAGUCUGUUUAUCAUGUGUUAGACCCAUAUUUCUAACUCAAAUGUCUAACUAAGAGGUCAAAGGUCAGUUUGUGGCAGGCAUAAUAAAGUUGGUGCUGACUGUAACUUCAUCUUUCAUCAGGCAAUUUUAAAUUGACUUUUCACAAAUACAUGUAUUCACCAUGUAAAAACAUGUGUUGUUUGUCCAUAGAUCAAAGGUCACUUUGUUAACAGCUGGUUUGGCCUCCAACCUCAUCCUUUAAUUUUACAUGAAGUUAAAACUUAAAGUUUAAAUAAAGACAUGAUGCAGCAUGUCUAAACAAUAACUUUGUAAUCCAUUAGGCAACUUUACCAUGUUAUAAAUGUACUAAAUGUGGAGCGAGCAUGUCCUGCGCAAGACCUGUAUCCCUAACUCAAAGGUUGAGCUUAAAUAUAUGUGUUAAAAUAUGGGCACCAUAUAGGUUGGGCAGACUUUAACUUCAUAAUUCAUCAGACAAAUACAAAAUAAUAUGUUUUUAAAUUCCUUCUCAUGAAUGUCGCCAUUUGGGAAAAACCUAUUGAACGGAGAGCCUGGGCCCAAAGCUCAGCUAAUUUGAAAGUUUAAUGCUAUUUGCCCGCUGGAGCUUUUACUGACUAUAACUUAACCAUUCAGACAGCAUUUUAUGUAGCAUGCCCCUCAUGUUCAACCUGGGCAUGAAGCAGUUAAGGUGUGUCCCAAGUUCAAGAGUCAAGGUCACACUCAUUGUAAAAAAAGUACAAUAUGAAUGGCAUUCCAGACAACUAGCACUGAAUAGUCUUUAACAGUGAUUUAAAAAAAAAUUACACAUCAAUCCACCAAUAAACAUGUAAUAUAAAUAGGUUAUAGGACAAAUUUAUUUUUGCUGUGCGAAUACAUGUAUGUGUUUGCAAAGUGCACAACUUGCACCUGCGAUUUAGAGUCUGUGAUUUCAGAAUUUACAUGUUCUUGCAUGCAUUCUCAAACAAAUUUGAUUAUUUGUAUUAAAUUAUAUAAAGAAUAAUAACUUUUUAUCACCUGAAGUCAUUUAAUCCAUGUGGAACACCAGAAUUCUAAUAUAAUUAUGUAAUAAAGUGUUCAUUGAUUUCAUAAAACAAAGCUAUCAUAUAUUCUACAAAAACUACAAAGUACCAUCAUGAUGUUAUUUCCAUAUAUUGUUUUGCAGAUGAGAAAUUUAUUCAAUUUAUUGUUGAUAAUAUUGAUAAAUACCAUAGUAGUAAUAUUUUAUUGCUUUCUUGCCAUUGCUAUAAAAAUUUGUACUUUCUUUAUUGAGCGUUUGAUGAAGCUUUUUCCACAUAUACCAGCAUAUUAUUGGUUAAGAAAGUAGAAAAACUAGGCAAGUUUUGAAUACAUUUAAGUAUAUUAAGCAAGGCUUAGGAAACCUUGACCAAUAGCCAUGGCAAGUUGUUUGAGUUUUCGUGUUGAACAAAUAAACUUAUCUGGAUUUAAUUCUUGCCUGGUAUUUUAUAUUUCCCAUCAUUUUUGCAUUUUUCUGUCUGCAAGUCAAAAGUAAGUAAAAUAACAUAAAUAUGAAUUAAAUAAUAAUAAUGAUUAAACUAACUCAAAUGAUAUCAUGCAUAAAACAAAAUGAUGGCUCUGCUCUGUCGGAGCUAGGUGUAUUUAAACAUUGUCGACUAUACCAAAAUUUAUCUGAUUGGGUGUUUAUUCCUUAGGACUGGUAUACAAUGGAAUUAUGCACAUUGUAAGCCUUCACAAUAUAUUACUCAUUAGAUGCAUUUAUGUGAUAAAUUUGCUUGCAAAUGCUAGGAUGUACAGUGUUGUCUGUGUACUUGUUUUGAUUGAUUUCAGCAUGGAAACUAUAUUUUAAUGAUUCAUUUGCAAAUAUUCAUGCCUACAUUUCGGUGUUAUAUUUAAUUUGCGACCUAAAACUGUUUUGAAAGCUUUGUAAAAGGGUAUUCUAAUUUUAAGUUUAUACCUAUUAAAGCUUGAUUGCAUGAAAACCCUUUGAUUAAUUGCGACACUUGACUGUUUCUUGCGAAGAACCAAUGCAAUGUAUUUGGAUCACUAGGUAGACUUCCACUAUGCAAGGGAAACCUCACUGUCAGGUGUGUUUAUCCCUUUCCUACUUAGAUACAUAUUUGUAGUCCCUUAAAAGUUAAAUUUUAUUAAAGACUGUUCUUACUAGAUUCAAAUUUUACAGGCUUUAUUUCCAACCCUUUGAUACUGAUGAGCAGCAAACAGCAUAACACCUGAACAGAAUGCGAGUAACUUGCUGGCUGUUCUUGUUUUAUGCUGCUUGCAAAUAGCAAUUUUCACUUUGCUUCUGCAAGGGAAAGGGUUAUUCAUGUACUCAGCAGCAUGUCUGUUAGAUCUGCUGACAAUCAUAUACUGGUAGCAGCAUGUCUGUUAGAUCUGCUGACAAUCAUAUACUGGUACUGGUAGUUGUGUUAUUGUGAGUCAAUUUUUGUUUUUACUUUGGUAAGAAUAAAUUCUCUUCAAAUGUGUUCAUGUUAUUUUAGUUUGAUAUUGGAUAGAUUUGGAAAUAUAGUGUUAAGCUGUUUCCAGGCGCUUUUUAGCUUUAGGGUAUUAGGAAGCGAAAGGUGCACAAAUGGUUGUCUGAAAAUACUUUAAAACUAGUACACUAUUGCAAGUGUUUUUCUUUUGUGUUCAGCAUCUCCAGUCAAAAGCAUCUGUUUAAACCUCUUUUUCUUUAACUUGAAUACAUAAAAAUAUAGUUGCUUAUGAGUAAAAUAUAGUAACAGUUGAUAAAAGUUCUUGAAUGUUUGGUUAUAAAUAUGUUAAGCAUUUUUGUUGUUUAUCCUUAAAUUAACAAUUAUUUUGCAUUCUAUUAUACAGUUCAAUUUUAUGCAUGUGAACAAAAUAAUUCAGUGUUAAAAGAUAUGCAACUGAAAUGUGAACUUUAAUAUAAAUUAUUUUUCCACCCAGCUUUAUUAACCAGGUUUUUUGAAGAAAAAAACUGGUUAUUAGAUUGGCGAAUGCCGGCAGGCGGGCGGGCUGGCGGGUGGGCGGAACAAGCUUGUCUGGGCCAUAACUCUGUCGUUCAUUGUCAGAUUUUAAAAUCAUUUGGCACAUUUGUUAACCAUCAUUAGACGGUGUGUCGCGCGAAAGAAUUACGUAGAUAUCUCCAAGGUCAAGGUCACAAUUUGAGUUUGAAGGUCAAAAAUGGCCAUAAAUGAGCUGGUCCAGGCCAUAACUUUGUCGUUCAUUGUGAGAUUUUAAAAUCAUUUGGCACAUUUGUUCACCAUCAUUAGAUGGUAUGUCGCUUGAAAGAAUCACGUCAAUAUCUCCAAGGUCAAGGUCACAAUUUGAGUUUGAAGGUCAAAAAUGGCCAUAAAUGAGCUUGUCUGGGCCAUUACUAUGUCAUUCAUUGUGACAUUAUAAAAUAAUUUGGCACAUUUGUUCACCAUUAUUGGACGGUGUGUCGCACGAAAGAAUUACGUCAAUAUCUCCAAGGUCAAGGUUGCCACAACUAAAAAUAGAUUGUUUUUGAAACAACUAUGUAACUAUGAAAGGAUGAUAACUCAAGAACGCUUAGGCCUAGGAUCAUGAAACUUUAUAGGUACAUUGAUCAUGACUGGCAGAUGACCCCUAUUGAUUUUCAGGUCACUAGGUCAAAGGUCAAGGUCACAGUGACUUGAAAUAGUAAAAUGGUAUCCGGAUGAUAACUCAAGAACGCUUAGGCCUAGGAUCAUGAAACUUCAUAGGUACAUUAAUCAUGACUUGCAGAUGAUCCCUAUUGAUUUUAAGGUCACUAGGUCAAAGGUCAAGGUCACAGUGACUUGAUAUAGUAAAAUGGUUUCCGGAUGAUAACUCAAGAAUGCUUACGCCUAGGAUCAUGAAACUUCAUUGGUACAUUGAUCAUGACUGGCAGUUGACCUGCAUCAAUUUUCAGGUCACUAGGUCAAAGGUCAAGGUCACAGUGUCUCGAAACAGUAAAAUAGUUUCCGGAUGAUAACUAAAGAAUAAUUAGGCCUAGGAUCAUGAAACUUCAUAGGUACAUUGAUCAUGACUGGCAGAUGAUCCCUAUUGAUUUUCAGGUCACUAGGUAAAAGGUCAAGGUCACAGAGACAAAAAAGGUAUCCACACAAUGGAUUCCACUACAACUGACAGCCCAUAUGUGGGGCAUGCAUGUUUUACAAACAGCCCUUGUUUUCUAAUUGAAAUCAAGGUCAAUUUUUCACAAGGAAGUUAACAAUACACAUUUUGAAUUGUCUCCCUUUAUCAGACUUUUUUUCAACUGAAAACCUGGUUUUGUGACAAUUUUGUCCCUUGUUACUUUUAUUAUCAAAAAUAUUUUAAAACUGCUUUUCUGAAACCUGAUUUAGAACCACAACAUGCCACACAAUUGGAUGACUUGCUGCAUUUCAUAAACUUUUUAAGAAUAAACAGCAUUCAAAUCUUUAACACAUAUUAUAUUCAAUGAAAGUUUACAGAUUCCAGGUUAAGUUUAUUGAACAAUGACAUACCAGUGAUUUGUACCUUUCCUUUAUGGUAGAUACACGCAAAUGCAGUUAGAAAGUAUAACUUACAGAUAGGUUCCUUCCGUUAGUCAAUAAUAAGUUUAUUAGAGUCACUUAUGAUAUUUAAUUUGAUGCAAAUAAUGUAUUAUAUUCUCAUAACAUAUUUUUGUUAGUAAUAAUGUGGAAUUAAGAUUUGUUUUAAGUUGUUCAAAUUUGAAUUCAUUCCUUUAUGUCCAUAAAUCAAGCAAUGCAAAAUUCUAGAUUAGUUUGGGAUGUAGUAAAGUGGGAAUAUGGUUCAAUAUUAAUAAUCACUUGAUCUUGUCUGCCUAAUAGGCAAGAUAAUAUAUUAAAAUAUCAUUUGAAAACUUGUAUCUGGUUCAAUUCUAACUGUUUUGAUAAAAGUACAUGAGUAAGGAUUUAAACUACUACUUACACAUUCAAUCAUUGACAUCAGCUGUUGUUAAACAUUUGGGACUGAAGGAAAAUAAUUUUGUUAUAAACCAUUGUUGUUAUUUGAGUGUUUUGACACAGAAAGCAAAUGAAGUUAUGGUUUAUCUACUGAAAAAUCUAUCAAAGAUAAAGGCAGAAAUAUAAUCAAUCAUUAAUUACUGGGCCUGUCUUAAAAUAAAUUGCUGUAUUGAAAUACUCACAAGGAAGACAAGAAACUCAAACAAUAGACAAAUAAGUUGUCAAAAAAAGUCAAUUGUAAUUUUAUGCAAUCUUAUUGGUAAUUUUAAAGCAUAUUCCCACUUUAAAGGUUCUUGUUUACAGAUUUUGAAUUUGUAUGCCCUUCACCUCUCUUUGAAGUAGGUGGCAUAUAGCGGUCCCACUGUGCAUAUACGCAAAAUUUAUUUUUUCAGUAAAAGUUUUGGGAAACCUUGGGAUAUAUAAAUUGAUUUUGAAUAGACUUUGAACAAAUGUGAUCAUAAGACAACAUGUGACACCUGUCUCAUAAUUUCAAUGGUCAAGGUUACACACAGAGGUUAAAUGUAAAAUUUGGCCCUAAAACAGCUUUAAAAUCUUGCCUUUGCCAUAACUUUGUCGUAUAUAUUUUUAUGCAAUUUCAAGUAACUUGGCACAAACAUAAACUAUCAUAAGACAAUAUGUCACAUGUAACGCACUAAGCAGUCUCCCUACCUCAAAGAACAAGGUUAUGUGCAACAUGUGUCUGCCUACCUCAAAGGUCAAGCUUCAGAGGUCAAUUCAAUUUUUGCCUUAAACAGCUUGUUUUAACAGCAGAAUGUUGAGGCAUAAGUGGAAUGUUGGGGCAUCUGUGCUUACAUGUAAUGUUGAAAAAUGUGGUUAACUAACAAAACUAUAAUAUUUGGAAUUAUAAAAGCAAGAAAAAGUUAACUUUAAUUUUUUACCUCUGCAGCAUUUAAUCUGUGUUUUGGAGGCAAAAUAUUACUUGCUACCACUAGACUCUUCAGGCUUUUGAAGUUAACUGCAUAUUUUAAACAUUAGUUUUUUGGAAAAUUAUCGAUGAAAAGCAUUACGAAAACUAAUUUAUUUCACAAAUAUUUAUUAUGCCAUCAAUGAACAAAUAUUUUUUACAUUUUGUGUAUUACUUUUACUUGCUUACUGAUACUAUUUUAAGUUUUUUGCUUUCAUUUUUGUGCUAAUUUGCAAUGUAAUAAUAUGCCGAAAUUCACUAAGAAUAAUGACUAACAUUCAGUUUUUCAAUAACAUUUUUAUCAGUCAAAUAAGAAUCUUUACUUAAAAAAGUAGUUAUAGCAGUAGCUUAAUUUGCAGUUGUACUGCCUGAUAAAGCACAAGAACCAUUCAUCUAUUGAUAUUGUAGCUUGUAUCAAAAGCCAUAUCAUAUAUGCUAUAAAAUACCCGAAAGCCUGUUGUUCAUAACAUUUAUAUGCUCAAUUGUUAGUUCUUUUUCUUAGACGUGCUAUCUAUUUAGUUCUGUAAUUGUUCAGAUUUCACUUAUUUGGUGCUCACUGCACAACCAUGUAAAUAUUUAAGCUUACUUGCUAUUUAUUGUUAGAUGUUAAAUGAUCAAAUAAAAGAACAAAAAUUGUGAAA